rnacentral:rRNA from 1 species
UACGUAGGGUGCAAGCGUUGUCCGGAAUUAUUGGGCGUAAAGAGCUCGUAGGCGGUUUGUCGCGUCUGCUGUGAAAACUCGGGGCUUAACCCCGGGCCUGCAGUGGGUACGGGCAGACUAGAGUGCGGUAGGGGGAGACUGGAAUUCCUGGUGUAGCGGUGAAAUGCGCAGAUAUCAGGAGGAACACCGGUGGCGAAGGCGGGUCUCUGGGCCGGUACUGACGCUGAGACGCGAAAGCGUGGGGAGCGAACAGG